GGACGAACGCUGGCGGCGUGCUUAACCCAUGCAAGUCGAACGGAAAGGCCCUGCUUUUGUGGGGUGCUCGAGUGGCGAACGGGUGUGUAACACGUGAGUAACCUGCCCUUGACUUUGGGAUAACUUCAGGAAACUGGGGCUAAUACCGGAUAGGAGCUCCUGCUGCAUGGUGGGGGUUGGAAAGUUUCGGCGGUUGGGGAUGGACUCGCGGCUUAUCAGCUUGUUGGUGGGGUAGUGGCUUACCAAGGCUUUGACGGGUAGCCGGCCUGAGAGGGUGACCGGCCACAUUGGGACUGAGAUACGGCCCAGACUCCUACGGGAGGCAGCAGUGGGGAAUAUUGCACAAUGGGCGGAAGCCUGAUGCAGCAACGCCGCGUGCGGGAUGACGGCCUUCGGGUUGUAAACCGCUUUCGCCUGUGACGAAGCGUGAGUGACGGUAAUGGGUAAAGAAGCACCGGCUAACUACGUG
rnacentral:rRNA from 1 species